ensembl:lncRNA novel transcript
UCCUCUUUUAUUUCCUUGAGCAGUGGUUUGUAGUUCUUCUUGAAGAGGUCCUUCACGUCCCUUGUAAGUUGGAUUCCUAAGUAUUUUAUUCUCUUUGAAGCAAUUGUGAAUGGGAGUUCACUCAUGAUUUGGCUCUCUGUUUGUCUGUUAUCGGUGUAUAAGAAUGCUUGUGAUUUUUGUACAUUGAUUUUGUAUCCUGAGACUUUGCUGAAGUUGCUUAUCAGCUUAAGGAGAUUUUGGGCUGAGACAAUGGGGUUUUCUAUACAUACAGUCAUGUCGUCUGCAAACAGGGACAAUUUGACUUCCUCUUUUCCUAAUUGAAUACCCUUUAUUUCCUUAUCCUGCCUAAUUGCCCUGGCCAGAACUUCCAACACUAUGUUGAAUAGGAGUGGUGAGAGAGGGCAUCCCUGUCUUGUGCCAGUUUUCAAAGGGAAUGCUUCCAGUUUUUGCCCAUUCAGUAAACAUGGAAAAAUAGCAAAUUAGAGACAGUGGGUAUUAACAAUUGCAUAUAUCACAAUAAAUGUAUGUUUAAUCUCAGGAAUGCAUGGCAGUUCUGUCUUUAGAAAAUGUAUUUUUUGUAUUUUUAUCAAUUUAGAGAUGCCCUUUUAAAAAAACAUAUUACAAAUUGGAAUAUUCAAAGGGCAGCUGUUUUAUUUUCUUCCUUGCUGAAACAUAAAAUAAUGACGUGUUUUAAAAUUUAUAGAAUCUUUGAUUUGAUCAAAUAUGGUAAUGUAAUUUGCCAUUCUAACAGAUCAAAAUCAGAAUCAGUAUGAUCAUCUAUCUUGAUUUGCGAGAAGCAUUUGAUAAUAUUCAAAAUCCAUUUAUGAAAAAACUCUUGGCAGAGGAGAAACAGCAAAGAAUUUUUAAAAUAUAAAGGGUAUGUACAAAACUGUAGUAACCAUCUUACUGAAAGAUCAAACUUGUUCCCUUUCAGCUUGGGAAUAAGACAGAGCUUCCUAUUAAGACCACCACAUCUACUCAUCUUUAAGCUGGUGAUUCUCACCAACACAUCUAAGCAUGAAAGAAAUAAAAAUUAUAAGAUAAAAAGGAAAGAAAACUCUCAGUACUUAAAGAUGAUAUAAUUACAUAGAAAAUCAAGAAGAUUCCAUGGAUAGGCUUCCCAAAAAACAAUAUGUAACAUACCAGCAACAAAUGGUAAGAAAAACACGUUGUUUUUUUUUUAAAGUACAUUUUCAGUGACAUUAAAUAAUAAGGAUUCAGGAAUACAACGAAUAUAACAAAAAUGUAAGAUAUCUAGGGAUGCGUAUAACAAAAAAAUUAUAAAGCUUCAUUUAAAACAUUUUUAAACAAAAUAAGUAGAAAGUAAUACCAUCUUUAUGGAACAGAGUCAGUAUUAUAAAUGUGUCAGUUUUCUUCAACUGGUCCAUAGACAACACAAUUUUAACUAAGAUUCCAAUUGGGAUUUCUGUGGAACUUGAUGAGUUAGGGCCAAAAGUAAUCAAGAUAUUCAUGAGGAAGGAUAACAGAAUGGCAAAACUUGCUUUAAUAAUUUGUGCAGGGAUAGACAAAUACUGUACACCAGUCUCUCAAUAGGGAGAUCAAAACCAAAUUCACACAGACAUGAAAAGUUGAUUUAUGACAGAUGAUGUUGCAGUCCCUGGGGAAAGAAUGGAAAUGGUGCUAGAAUAAUUGGUUUCUAUAUGUAUUUCUAUAUAUUUAUAUGCCAUUACAUUAAAGUCAAUGCCUAUGGAGUUUGGGAGGAGUGAUCAAAAUGUUCUGGAAUUAGAUGUGAUGUUUGCACAACUCUGUGAAUGUACUAAGAACCACUGAAUUGUAUAUUUUUAAAGCAUGGUAUGUGAAUAAUACCUCAAUAAAGCUGUUAUAAAAAAUAUUUUAAAAA